ensembl:misc_RNA Metazoa_SRP Metazoan signal recognition particle RNA
AUUAGGUAUAGUGCCACACACCUGUGAUCCCUGCUGCUGGGGAGGAUGAGGCUGGUGGAUCACUUGAGUUUGGGAGUGCUGAGGAGUAGUAGGGCUAUUGUUGAUCUGGUGCCUGAACUAAGUCUGGCACCAAUAUAGUGAACCCCUGUUAGUGGAGGGCUACCAGGCUGCCUGAGGAGAGGCAAAAUAGCCCAUGUCAGAAAAGCAGAGGAAAUUAAAGCUUCUGGGCUGAUCAGUAUUGAGUCUAGGCCCGUGAGGGGCCACUAUACUUCCAGAUUAGGUGAAAUAGGGAGACCCAUUCUUUA